CGGACUCCUCCGGGGCCCCUCGGUGGCUUCCGGGGAGACGGAGCCAAAGUGUUGUUGCUUUGAGUAGUUGCGAGCGACCCCGGGUCUCAGGGAGGGCUUCAUUGCCGACUGAAGAAACCCAGCGACCUCGGCCUCCGGCUUACCCAGCUCUCCUGCCCGAGGGGCAAAGCCCCCUCCUCUUUUCUUUAGUUUGCACGGGAUGCGCUUUGACUCCGUGAACAGUCUCAUUGUGGUGGUGCCAGCCUUUAAAGCCCGCACCCAGGAGGCAGAGGCAGGAGAAUCUCUGAGCUCGAGCCCAGGCUGGUCUACACAUGGAAAGGCCGUAUUUUGAGGAAUACAUGUAAUGUGUUAAGGAGGCCACUGGAAAAGCCAGACACCCAGGGAAGAGCUCAGGGCUGACAGCCUGAGAGCUGGUCAUUCUGGGAAACCAGAGGCCUUGGCAGUCCCCAUCUGGCAUCUAAAACCUGGAAGGCUCCAGGAGAGUUCUGGAUCUUCAGCCCACCUUGGAAGCCUAAAGAAGCUGGAGUCUGAUGCCACCAGGGGUUGGAGGCAGCAGCAGGAGAGAGAUGCACUUAAGAGGUGAAGGCUGCAGGCUGGCCACACUGCAUAUACCAUGGAGGUCAGCACUGGGAUGCACUGCCCACACGGGAAGAGUCUCCCUGCCUCAGAGACAGACAGGACUUUCAGACCCUGUGGGGAAGCUGACUUUAUUUGGAAGCUCUGUGGAGUUGUCUAAAUCAACGCUGGGAGGAAUUGAACACAGUUACUCUGUGCUCACAGACUGUGUCUUUAACAAUAUCUACAGGAUGCUUUUGAGGGUGAUUGAAAUACCUUCUCGAAUUGUGCAUCUCGGAUUACAGUGAGUCAGUGUCUUCUUGUUCAAGAUAUGUCAGCCUGGUCAGAAUGCGUGGAAUGCGAGUGCCUCGUGGGUCACUUUUGGUAAGCAGAACUGGCGCUGUGGGAUGAACCGAACGCCAGGUUAAGGCGCCCGAUGCCGACACUCAUCAGACCCCAGUGAUGCAGUUUUAUCCGGUAAAGCAAAUGAUUAGAGGUCUUGGGGCCGAAACGAUCUCAACCUAUUCUCAAACUUUAAGUGGGUAAGAAGCCUGGCUAGCUCAGUCGGUAGAGCAUGAGACUGUUAAUCUCAGGGUCAUGGGUUCAAGCCCCACGUUGGGCGCCAACUGAAGAAUAAGGGUUGGAACAUGUGCUCAAAGAUGAACUGUGAUUUGGGAUGGUGAAGUCUCUUUAAUCAAGAAAACACCAGGGCAAGACGUAGACCAGAGCGAGCUUACAG
rnacentral:tRNA from 1 species